GGGCGAAGACGUGCGUUAACGUCGGAGAAGCUUUCUAGCGGUGGACGGACCUCCGAGAGUCCAAAGGCGUGAAGAAGGAUGCGGGGGUUGCUCUGUUUCUGCCUGAGAGCUUUGGUUUCACAGAGCCAGUAGCCCUCCACCUCUCUGUAAGGAGCACACUCGUACAGGUCACCAUGUGGGAAACCACACGCACGGAGACAUCCCAGUGAACCCGCUGCAACGCUCCGACGUACUGAAAGUCUGCUUCGCUGGGGUUGCAGGUGGAUCGUGGAUUCUUUUCUCAUCCUCAAGCUGAGAUACUAAAAUGAACUGACAUGGAAACGAAAACAUCUUCCACUGGUCCGCAAUAUUGUAACGUUGUAAAAUUGCCAUGAUUAUACUUUGUAUAUAUUUUGAAUUCAAUAGUUUGUUUUUUUGUC